rnacentral:lncRNA from 1 species
AAUCUGGUAUGGCCUGAGCACGAAUUCAAAAGCAAUAAUAAGAUUCAGACAAAUAACAAUAGGUUCAUAACUGAAGCAAGACACACUAAGAAAUUUUUAUGCACUUGAAAAGCAAGGGCGGGGGAAAAUGCUGAAUAAUAGUACAAUAACUAAACCUUUAACUAACACUCUUUGGCUGAGUGAGGAAAGAAGAAAAGGACUUCUCAAAAGCCUAGUCUACGUGAUGACAAUAGAAAAAGGUUUCAUUUGAUCUUGGGUGUCAAAAUUUUGUAAUUGAAAAGCAAGGGAAGGGGGAAAUGCUGAAUAAUAGUACAAUAACUAAACCUUUAACUAACACUCUUUGGCUGAGUGAGGAAAGAAGAAAAGGACUUCUCAAAAGCCUAGUCUACGUGAUGACAAUAGAAAAAGGUUUCAUUUGAUCUUGGGUGUCAAAAUUUUGUGAGGCAGCUGCUAAAAUUUUUAGCAUCAUGAAUCAGGUGCCUAACCUGGGUAUAUAGACUUAAAGGAAACACAGAUAUACUGAGUUUUAUGCAUUAAGGAAGGCAGUAAGAACCGUUAGCAUCCUGAAAUGCUAUUUCCCGACUACUACUAGUACAGUUCCAAUGGUUGCCUAUGUUUCAUAUUUAUGCCAAAAACAGUUAAUAUUCGAGCUUUGAGCUAGAUGAUGCAUGACCUUAAGAAUAAAUAUACUUAUAAAAAACUGGUCACAGUAAAUGAUGUGGAUUCCCUGAUAGAGCUGAUGCUAAAUUUGUGUAAUCUGUAACUUUUGAUGCACUAGGCUUUGCUUGAUUUAGUCGUUCUGAAUUUUAUCAACCAUUGGCUUUUUCUCUGUGCUUUGAUUACAUAUUAUAAACCUAAUAGAAGUGUUCUUCUGUAACAUAGUGUGCUAUAUAAGUUAUCUUGACUGCACAUGCACCUAGUAUUAGUUUAGUAUAAUAUGAUGCACAAAGGCAGGAAGAGAACCAAUUUCAUCAAAUGAAUUUUAUGACUAUCCAGAAGUCCAAAGUUAUUUACCCUCUUAAGAAGUCAUAGGUAAUUAAGUUGCUUCAGCUUUAAAAGGGAAUAUAUUUCACAAGAGGUCAUUCAGUAUUUCAUUCGUUGCAACUUCAGAUAGAUAACAUUUUUGCAACUUACCUGG